AACGAGGGACCGAUCGUUGCGUUAAUUAGCAAGAGCCGCGCGCAUCAAGGCACUGGCAGAGAAUACUCGAGGGGAGGCUGGACAGGUCUGCGCCUCAUCCAGGAGGAAGGAGUGCGGCACGGUGGUGCGGUGGGUAGCACUGUCGCCUCACAGCAAGAAGGUUCUGGGUUCCCUGUCCAGGGUGUACCCUGCCUCUCGCCUCGCUGGGAUAGGCUCCAGCACCCCCGUGACACUAAUUAAAACAAUUCAAGUGCUUGAGAAGUAAAUUUGAACCUUGAGUGAAGUAUCCUGUUAUACUAAUAAAGAGCAAACCUGUAAAACCA
rnacentral:lncRNA from 1 species